rnacentral:hammerhead_ribozyme from 1 species
AUCCAACUGACGAGUCUCAAAUAGGACGAAACGCGAGUCCUGGAU